AGAGUGAACGCUGGCGGUAGGCCUAACACAUGCAAGUCGAACGGCAGCACGGUAAGAGCUUGCUCUUAUGGGUGGCGAGUGGCGGACGGGUGGAGGAAUACAUCGGAAUCUACCUUUUGGUGGGGGAUAACGUAGGGAAACUUACGCUAAUACCGCAUAACGCCCUUCGGGGGAAAGGACCGGGGACCAGCAAUGGCCUGGCGCUGAUAGAUGAG
rnacentral:rRNA from 1 species